rnacentral:rRNA from 1 species
UAUUGGGCAAUGGAGGCAACUCUGACCCUGCAACGCCGCGUGAAUGAAGAAGGCCUUCGGGUNGUAAAGUUCUUUAAUGGGGGACNNCGNNNGNGACGGUACCCCAAGAAUAAGCCACGGCUAACUACGUNNNANCNGCCGCGGUAAUACGUAGGUGGCAAGCGUUGUCCGGAAUGACUGGGCGUAAAGGGAGCGUAGGCGGCGCGGUAAGUUAGGAGUGAAAUCCCGGGGCUCAACCCCGGAACUGCUUUUAAAACUGCCGUGCUUGAGUGAUGGAGAGGAAAGCGGAAUCCCUAGUGUAGCGGUGGAAUGCGUAGAUAUUAGGAGGAACACCAGAGGCGAAGGCGGCUUUCUGGACAUUAACUGACGCUGAGGCUCGAAAGCGUGGGGAGCAAACAGG